CUCUCUCUCUCCCGCUGAACAUCACUCGGUGUUUGCGUCUUGCUUUCCGACGCUGCUGGCCGGCUAGCUGUUCUUUACUACUUCUGUGGUGCUCGAUCCGCUCACCAGCUGGUUCCGGCAAGCCGCCGUCAACUCAGCUGCUGGCUGCUUCUUCGGGAGCCGCCGAGUGAUGCAUAUAACAAAGCCCUGAAUUUAAGGAAGGUAGAUGACCAUGGGAAUUAUUACAGUGGGGCAGUUUCUCUUGUUGCUAAUGGCUUGCAAUGCACAUGUUGCUGUCGGAUCCUUCAAUGGGAGUCAGUCAGAUCGGAUAUCACUCCUUGAAUUCAAGAAGGCAAUCAGUGAUGAUCCACAACGGGUCUUUAUGUCCUGGAAUGACAGCAUUCACUUCUGCAGUUGGGAAGGGGUCUUGUGCAGGUUGAAGAAUCUACAUCGUGUAACUUCUCUCGAUCUUGGGGGUCGAGGCUUAGUUGGCACCAUCUCUCCCUCGCUCGGAAACCUCACAUUCCUAAAAUAUCUCUUCCUUCCCAACAACGGAUUCAUUGGAGAAAUCCCUCCAUCCCUUGGCCAUUUGCCCCGCAUCCAGUAUCUCUGCUUGAGCAAUAAUACACUCCAAGGACAGACACCUGACUUUGCAAAUUGUUCCAGCCUCAAGAAGCUAUGGCUGGACGGUAAUCACUUCGUGGGGCAAAUGCCUAUAUUAUUAGACAAUAUGCCUACUCGUCUUCAAUACUUGCAGAUUUCCCGUAAUAAUCUUACUGGAACCAUUCCCCCUUGUAUUGGUAACUUCACGACAUUAGCAUGGCUCUAUGCCACUUAUAAUCAGAUUCAUGGAGAAAUCCCGAGCCAAAUUGGAAAUCUUCCUGUGCUACAAGUCUUUGAGGUUAUGAGAAAUAAGCUAUCUGGAAAGUUUCAACUGGCCAUCCUUAAUUUAUCCUCUAUCGUUGACUUACGCCUUUCCUCCAAUUACCUGAAUGGAGAGUUGCCAUCCAGUCUUGGCAGUUCGUUUCCUAACCUACAAUUUAUUUCAUUAUAUCAUAACCUCUUUAAUGGGCAUAUCCCAAGUUCAUUGGCAAAUGCGUCUAAGCUGAUCAUGGUCGACUUAUCAGAUAACAACUUCACUGGGGUGGUGCCUAGUUCUAUUGGCAAACUAGAGGAACUCUGGGGUUUGAACCUUGAAAUUAAUCAACUCCACGCACGCAGCAAGCAAGACUGGGAUUUCAUGUAUAGCCUGACAAACUGCACCAAGCUAUGGGGAUUGUCAUUAGCGGAUAAUCAGCUCGAAGGACAAAUACCAGAUUCACUUGGCAACCUUUCCAUGGGCCUUCAGAUGCUGUAUCUUGGAAUUAAUAGAAUAUCAGGUUCCAUUCCUACCGGUAUAGCAAACCUUCGCAGCUUGAAUUACCUAGCACUGGGGGGAAAUCACCUCACAGGUGCCAUUCUAGAGCAGUUAGGAAAUUUGGAAAAUUUGAGACAGAUAUUAUUACCGAACAACAAUUUUACUGGGCAUAUCCCUUCGUCACUCUCAAACUCAACUCAAUUGAUAUAUCUUACUAUGUACAACAACCAGUUAGAUGGAAACAUACCCCCAAGCCUGGGAAAACUCAAAGUCCUCCAAGUUAUUGAUUUUUCCUAUAACAAACUUCAUGGUCGAAUACCAAAGGAGAUUUUCAACAUUCCUACAAUAGAAAUUGUUGAUUUUUCUUUCAACAGCUUAGAUGGACCACUCCCUCCUGAGAUAGGUAAUGCCAAACAACUGGAGUACCUGUAUCUUUCGUCAAAUAAUUUGUCCGGUGCAAUCCCUGACAUGAUCGGUAAUUGUGAAAGCCUCCUAGAGCUUAAACUGGACCAGAAUUUUCUUAUUGGCAGUAUUUCAUUCCAGCAUCCCUAGGCAAUAUACAGUACACAACUUGGGAGUUCUCAUUAUGUCUCAUAACCACUUAUCAGGAUCCAUACCAGAGUCUAUUGGUUGUCUGCAUUAUCUUGGGCAAAUAGAUUUGUCAUUCAACUACCUUGAGGGAGAAGUCCCAUGAAGUGGUAUAAGUAUUCAAGAAUACUACUGCUGUACAGAUUGAUGGAAAUAAGGGGCUUUGUGGUGGGCCAGCAGGGCUACACCAACCAGCAUGCCCUGUUAAGCAAAAGCAAUCUACAGUACUCAGAGUAGUACUCCCUAUAGUCGGCUUGGUGUCACUUGCUAUGAUCAUUACUGUUGUCUUGAUGUGCAAGAAAAGACAAAAGGCAGAUUCUAUGUCACUACCAUCAUUUGGUACUAAUUUUCCUACAGUUUCUUAUAACAGUCUUGCUAGAGCGACUGAUGGGUUUUCUGCAUACAAUUUAAUAGGCAGAGGAAGAUAUAGUUCUGUAUACAGAGGUGACUUGUUUCAAGAUGGAAAUGUAGUUGCUAUAAAAGUUUUCAGCCUAGAGAUAAGAGGGGCCCAAAAUAGCUUUAUUGCAGAAUGUAACGCUUUGAGAAAUUUGAGGCACCGCAAUCUAGUCACUGUCCUUACUGCAUGCUCAAGUAUGGACCCGGAAGGAAAUGAUUUCAAAGCUUUGAUAUAUAAAUUCAUGCCAAGGGGGGACCUGUACGAAGUGCUAUACUCAAACUCAACUGGACAUGAUGAAAACUCUUCAAAAUUGGACUACAUUUCAUUGGCUCGAAGGUUGAGCAUUAUGGUCGAUGUAUCAGAUGCAUUGGAGUACCUGCACCACAGUAACCAAGGAAGUAUUGUUCAUUCGGAUGUGAAGCCUAGCAAUAUUCUUCUAGAUGAGAAUUUGACAGCUCACAUCAGAGACCUUGGCCUUUCAAGAUUCAACGUUGAUACUGCGGUAUCAUCUCUCGGUGGUACAAACUCAACUUCGUCAAUCGCAGUAAGGGGAACCAUCGGAUAUGUCGCUCCAGAAUGUGCAGGGGGCGGUCAAGUCUCGACGGCCACAGAUGUUUACAGCUUUGGAGUUGUUCUCCUUGAAAGAUUUAUGCGGAAGAGGCCAACAGAUGGCAUGUUUAAAGACGGGUUGAGCAUUGUAAGGUUUGCAGAGAUGAACUUCCCUGACAGAGUGUUGGAGAUUGUUGAUCCCCGGCUGUUACAAGAACUGCAUCCCGACCAUGGAACUUCAGAAGCUGUCAAGGAAAGAGGCGCACGAUGUCUGGUCUCUGCUCUGGACAUUGGAUUGCGUUGCACAAAAGGCAUCCCCGAGCGAACGAAUCAGCAUGCAGGAGGUGGCUGCAAAGCUGUAUGGAAUCAGGAUGCGUAUGUCAGAGGGAACUGAAGAAGAACUCGACUAGUCUUUAGGCCAGUAGGUGGAGUGGACUAUUUUGCUCCACCUCAAAAGUUGUGUUAUUUACUCCAUCCCUCUCUGCUUUUUAAAUACUCCACGUACUAUCCUAUCUUUUCGAUGGAUCAAAUUUGAAAUGCUCCGUUCUUUUACUCCGUCCGUUGCAAACAGCCUUACUAGUAAUUGCUGAAUGAUUUGGUGGUCACUUGUCA